GUCUACUUCCAUACUACCCUGAAUGUGCCUCAUUUCAUCUGCUCUUGUAGACUAAGCAGGGUGAGACUUGGUUAAUACUUCGAUAGGACGGUGUACCUAGCAUGUGCAAGACC
rnacentral:rRNA from 1 species